rnacentral:rRNA from 1 species
UACGGAGGGUGCAAGCGUUAUCCGGAUUCACUGGGUUUAAAGGGUGCGUAGGUGGGAAUGUAAGUCAGUGGUGAAAUCUCCGUGCUUAACAUGGAAACUGCCAUUGAUACUAUGUUUCUUGAAUCUUCCGGAGGUCAGCGGAAUAUGUCAUGUAGCGGUGAAAUGCUUAGAUAUGACAUAGAACACCAAGUGCGAAGGCAGCUGACUACAGGGGCAUUGACACUGAGGCACGAAAGCGUGGGGAUCAAACAGG